rnacentral:lncRNA from 1 species
AUAACUUCAGGAAGAGAAUGAGCAGCCAGACCAGAUGGACUCCUUUGAAAUGAAGAUCCUGUCUUCAUGCAAAUGCUGUGAAUGAUAAAAGGACAAGAGGGAAAAGUGGCAGAAAUUACACAAGCAGGAUUGUAUCUAAAUACAGAGCACAAUUACUCCUAGUCCCAUUCCAUGCCUGGAGCAUGGUUAAUAGGAGAGACCCUUAGAAAAUGGAGCCAGAUUGGAAGGAUAAAAAUGCCUGUGCAUUCACUUCAUUCAAAGCUGCAAGUUGCACUGAAAAGGAUGCAUAAUUCUCUGUGCUCUGGGACAUAA